GAGCUGGGAAGGGAAAAGAAGGAAGGAAGAAAAGUAAAAAGAAAAGGAUCUUCUGGACGGUGCACCACAGCUGUCUCCAGUUGCUGGAAAUGAUGGCUGCAGUCAGCUCACAACUGAGACCUUCUCUGGGCACAGCCCAGGGCCCCAGGGAAAUGUCUCACCCAAAGUUGUCCCCACUCCCCAGAGGUAGCCCACAUCUAAUGACCUGUCAGUGGGAGAGUUUGGAGGUCUGCUUCCUUGCCACAACUCAGAAUAACUCUGGAAGGCUACCCCAGCCCCAAAGCCUCUCAUAGGAUCGCCUGGUCUUCUAUUGUAACAGCAGCUCUCCUUCUCUCCGGUUCUUUACUUCCUGACAGAUGUUAAUCUUUAGAGCACUCCUCAGUAAACUUCCUGCACACAAAUGUCCUCUCAGGGUUUGAUUCUGGGGAAUCCCACCCGAGAGACUCUUUCUCUCUCUUUUAAAAAAAUCUAGUCCCUUAUCAUUCAGCUUUCGAGUAGAGCUUUGUCAGAGAGAAUUCAGUAUAUUGGCCGCCAUAAGACCUUAACUUAGGCUGAAAGCUUCUCAUUUUUGUAAUCUCCAUAUCUCAAGAAUCCUGUACUGGGUCUGUUCUGUAACAAGAUUAUCCAUAAAUGGGUAUUGAUGGAUGAA